rnacentral:lncRNA from 1 species
CUGAAGGAUGCAAAAGGGAUGAAGAGAGAAGCCAGGCACCAAGGCCACAUCUUGUGACUCCAUUUACAGGAAAUAUACCGUUUAGGUAAAUGCAUAUCGGUGGCUGCCAGGGGCUGGGGGAGACGGAACUGGGAGUGACUACCUCAUGGGUACAGAGUCUCCUUUGAGGGUGAUAAAAAUGUUUCGGAGCUAGAUAGAAGUAAUGGUUGCACGACAUUGGGAAGGUACUGACACUGAAUGAUAUGCUUUAAAAUGGUUAAUUUUAUGGUAUGCGAACUUCACCUCAAAAAAAACAGAAAGAGGGAAGGAAAAAAGAGGGGGUGGAGUAGGAUGAGGAAGGAAGCCCUGGAGCUCAGGAGCAAGAGCUACAGAGAUGUUCUGGAACAGAACACAGCUAAUACUAAAUUAACCCCUUGCUUUCCAACCCAAUGCCUCAGGCCGAAUGCCUAGAGCAGUUUCCCUAGGCACUGUGGCUGAGGAAUUGUGCCCUGGGCCAGCUGGUGGGCCCCCUAAAGCUAAGAAUGUUCUGCCUCUUCAAAGCAUCUGCUCAAUCCUGGACUCUUUUCUCUGACAAUGUUUUCAGAGGGAGGUGCCCUCCCUAUUUCAGGAGCAGAAAAUGAACUCAAGUGUCGUGAAUUACAGUGGGGGAAAAAAUUUAUUUUUUUUAAAUUUAGGCUUCUCAGCCUUCUUACUCAAAAAUACUAAAAAUAUACAUUGCCUUUUCUAAAUUAAACUUAAUUCCUACUUUGAGCCCCCAUCCUGCUUCAUAGCAAAAACUUAAUUAUCUCAUUCAGUUCAGUGUCUGGCAUUUCUCUUCUCCAGGAUACCCCUUGAGUUCCAGGUGCCUCACAUCCUGUGAAGAUGUUUGCUCCUUGCUGUCUUCAUGUAUUCAUGCCAGCUGCCACGAUGGCCUGGACAUCUAGACUACGUUUGCUUUAACUCUGCAGCAAAUCUUUUCCAGGUCUGCAGAGUCUAUAUGUCAUGACUCUGCUCCCCCUGGAAGUCUGGGGACACCUGGAGGCUGCUAUGCCAUACUGGCACUACAAGAAAUGAGGUGGAGGCCAGGCACGGUGCCUCACACCUGUAAUCCCAGCACUUUGGGAGGCCGAGGUGGGUGGAUCACCUGAGGUCAGGAGCUGGAGACCAGCCUGGCCAACAUGGUGAAACCCUGUCUCUAUCAAAAAUACAAAAAUGAGCUGGGCGUGGUGGUGGGCACCUGUAUUCUAGCUACUCAGGAGGCUGAAGCAGGAGAAUCACUUGAACCUGGGAGGCAGAGGUUGCAGUGAGCCAAGAUCACGCCCUUGCACUCCAGCCUGGGCAACAAGAGCAAAACUCCAUCUCAAAAAAAAAAAAAGAAAAGAAAGAAAUGAGGUAGAGCUGAGGUUGUUCACCCACUUGUUUGCUACUCUUAGACGCACAGAAAAAUCAUUCUACUGCUCCCACGUUACCCAGGGUAUUGGGAACCCUUCAAGGCUGACUCAGACCCGGGAUGGAGCAGCUAUUUCACCCCUACUUCUUUUGUGCCAUCUUGUGGCACAGGAAGAGAUUCGUGUAUGUGCCCCUUUCCCAGGUUCCACCUGCAAAGCAGGCACAGUUCUCCUCCUCUCUCCAAUUUUCCAAACCUGUAUGAGUCUCUGAAGUGGAAUUCAAAUAUACACAGGGGUUUAUAUAAAAAUGAAUAUCUGAAUAAUUCCAGGCAAUGAACAAACCUUGAAAACAUGCUAAGUGAAGGAAACCAAACACAAAAAGCCACAUAUCCAUUUAUAUGAUAUGUCCACAGUAGGCAAAUCCAUUGAGACACAAAGCACACUGGUGGUUGCCAGGGACUAGGAGGAAGUAGAAAUGGGGGUGACUAAUGGGUCUGGCAUUUAUUUUUGGGGAUGAUGAAACUGUUCUGGAACUAGUAGUGAUAGUUGUACAUCAUGAAUGUCCUGGAAGUUACUGAGUUACACACUUUAUACUUGUAAAAAUGGUGAAUUACUAUGUGAAUUUUACCUCCUUAAAAAAAAUCCAGGCCAGGCACAGAGGCUCAACACCUGUAAUCUCAACACUUUAGGAGGCCAAGGCAGGUGGAUUGCUUGAGCCCAGGAGUUGGAAACCAGCCUGGGCAAUAUGGCAAAACCUCAUCUCCACAAAAAAAUACAAAAAUUAGCCAGGCAUGGUGGUGCAUGCCUGUGGUCCCAGCUACUGGGGAGGCUGAGGUGGGAGGAUCACCUAAGCCUGGGGAGGUCGAGGUUGCAGUGAGCUGUGAUCUCACCACUAUACUCUAGCCUGGGCAACAGAGUGAGACCCUGUCUGAAAAAAAAAAAAUCAAGAUAUAUUUGGGUUUGGUCAGAGGUCUCAGGGAGGGAGGGAGUCUACAUUGAAGUAGGGUUUGGGGGUACGCUAGCUUUUGUCUUUGGAUAUGCAGUUCAGGACAGUUUGUCUUUGGAUAUGCAGUUCAGGACAGUUUGUCUUUGGAUAUGCAGUUUUAGGACAGUUUUUGUUAUCUCCUAGCUUUUGUCUUUGGAUAUGCAGUUCAGGACAGUUUGUUUAACUCCAUCAUCUCAUCACUCUAAAAAUUUUUGGUGUAUCUAGUUCAGACGCUCCAGCCCUUGAUAAGUCUUAACUGGAACAGAAGAAAAUUCUGAGAUUUAGAAUUUUGCUUAUUUCCAAACAACUGUGAAUGUCUAGAGUUGGAGGCAAAGACUUCUAGUCCCAAUAGAAGGCACCAAUCUACUGUCUGGAAAAAUCCUUUAGCCCUGUGUCCCUCUCCUUCUAGCCCCACUGUGAAAGAACAUAUCAUUCUCUAGUCAUAAUAGUGACCAUCGUGGGUUAAAAACCCUUACUAUUUGCCAAGUCUGGUGCUAAGCAUUUCAUUUAAUCCUCAUCAAAAAAAAAAAAAGAAAAAAGAAAGAAAGAAAAGAAAAGAAAAAGAAAAUGGCAAAUGGCAAUACAAGGUCUCAAUCAGUUAAGCAUCAUUCUUAAGAUCACACAGCUGAUAAGUGGCAGGACUGGGAUUCAAAACCAAAAUUGCCUCCAAAGCCCCAUCCUUAACCAUUAUAUCAUUCUACCUCUUUCCGAUUAACCCUGGUGAGUUUUGCUUAGGGCUCUUAUCAUUGGUUCCUCUCACAUUCAGUGGUGUUGAGAUUCUAGGGUGAAAAUUGAGCAAGAGGUUCAGGAUCUGGUAAUAUCAGAAUAGCUUAUCAAACUAGCCCUCCCACAUGUAACAAUUAUCUAAUCUGGACAAAAUAGUUUAACAAAACAAUUGCGUUAAAGCACUCUGCAGCAACCAAAAGAAGGCAGAAAGGGAGGGGAUCCAACCCUUGAAUGAAAGACAGCACAUUGAGUGAGAGCUGCGUUCACUGGCUCUUCCCCUGAAGGUGUGUCCCCAUCUAUACACUGCAUGGGGAAUGGAGUGGCUGGAAAUUUAGGGAGAAAAAUCUUAAUCCUAAGUGACGGAACCAUGGAAGGGGUGCCCUAAAAUCUGUGUACCAAUUAUCUUCAAAUCCUUGGCUGACUGCUAAACAGUUCAUAUGCAGGGUGAGAUUGUAAGUUUCCCAGAGGCAAGAAACUGCAUCAAGACGAAAGAGUCAAGCCCUGCCAAGGUAGAGAAGCUUUGUAGACACAGCGCCCUUUUUGUUGAAACACUUGCAGGGCCACACCUUAGGAAUAAGGACCACAUCUUAGAAUUUAGGUCUAUACCCUAGGAAUAAGGACAAAACUGAAAGAGAUCCACUCCAAUAAAGGCUAAAACUAAGCUUCCACAGGACUAAGAUUGUCUGUCAACGAUUUAGCCAUCUGCUAGGGCAAAACUCAAUGCCUUUCAAAGAAAGAUAGUAAACUCCAGAGACUCUAGAGUGUGUUACAUAGAAUAAACAUAUAGUAUAAGCCAGACACAAUGGCACAUGUCUGUAAUCCCAGCUACUGGGGAACCUAAGGCAGGAGGAUUGUUUGAGCCCAGGAGUUCAAGACCAGCCUGGACAAUAUAGUGAGCCCUUGGCUCAAUUUCUUUUUAAUUACUUGGCAUAUGAUAUGGUUUCAAUAUUUGUCCCAUCCAAAUCACAUGUUGAAAUGUAAUCCCCAGUGUUGGAGUUGGGGCCUGGUGGGAGGUGUUUGAGUCAUGGGGGUGGAUCCCUCAUGGCUUCGUGCUGUCCUCACAAUAGUGAGUAAGUUUUUGAGAGAUCUUGUUAAGAAUGUGUGGCACCUCCCCCGCACUCUCUCUUGCUCCCACUCUUGCAGUAUGAGACACCUGUUCCCCCUUCACUUUCUGCCACAAUUGUUAAGAUUCCUGAGCCCCACCCUACCAGAAGCCAAGCAGAUGCUGGCACCAUGAUUGUACAGCCUGCAGAACCAUGAGCCAAUUAAAUCUCUUUUCUUUAUAAAUUACCCAGUCUCAGAUAUUUCUUUAUAGAAAUGCAAGAAUGGCAUAAUAUAGCAUACAAACAGCCAGAAAAAUAUGACAGUCAAGAGAAUAGUCAACAGAAGCAGACCCAAAGAUGAGUCAGAUAUUGGAGAUAGCAAAGACCUUGAAAAAAAUUAGAAAAAACUUUAAAAAUGCAACAUACAAACAGCCAGGAAAAUAUGACAAUACAAUCAUGUGUCACAUAACAACAGAGGAACGUUAUGAGAAAUGAAUCAUUAAGCAAUUUUAUGUAUGAAUAUCAUCGAGCAUACUUACACAAACCUAUAUGGUAUAGCCUACUACAUACCUAGGCUAUAUGGUAUAACUUAUCACUCUUAGAUUACAAACCUAUACAGCAUGUUGCUGUACUGAAUGUUGUAGGGAAUUAUAACACAAUGACAAUUAUUUAUGUAGCUAGAAAUAUCUAAACUUAGAAAAGUUACAGUAAAAAUAUGAUAUACAAGAUUAAAAAAAUGAUACACCUAUAUAGGGAACUUACCGUGAAUGGAGCUUGCAGGACUGGAAGUUGCUCUAGGUGAGUCAGUGAGUGGUGAGUGAAUGUGAAGGCCUAGGACAUUACUGUACACUACUGUAGACUUUAUCAACAUUAUACUCUUAGGCUGUACUAAAUUUAUUUUUUAAAUAUUUUUUCUUCAAUAAUAAAUUA